UGGCUCUGCUAUCACUUCUGGAUGGACCCGCGGCGCAUUAGCUAGUUGGUGAGGUAACGGCUCACCAAGGCGAUGAUGCGUAGCCGACCUGAGAGGGUAAUCGGCCACAUUGGGACUGAGACACGGCCCAGACUCCUACGGGAGGCAGCAGUAGGGAAUCUUCCACAAUGGACGCAAGUCUGAUGGAGCAACGCCGCGUGAGUGAAGAAGGGUUUCGGCUCGUAAAGCUCUGUUGUUAAAGAAGAACGUGGGUGAGAGUAACUGUUCACCCAGUGACGGUAUUUAACCAGAAAGCCACGGCUAACUACGUGCCAGCAGCCGCGGUAAUACGUAGGUGGCAAGCGUUAUCCGGAUUUAUUGGGCGUAAAGCGAGCGCAGGCGGUCUUUUAAGUCUAAUGUGAAAGCCUUCGGCUCAACCGAAGAAGUGCA
rnacentral:rRNA from 1 species